rnacentral:rRNA from 1 species
GACGAACGCUGGCGGCGUGCUUAACACAUGCAAGUCGAACGGAAAGGCCCUGCUUUUGUGGGGUGCUCGAGUGGCGAACGGGUGAGUAACACGUGAGUAACCUGCCCUUGACUUUGGGAUAACUUCAGGAAACUGGGGCUAAUACCGGAUAUGAGCUCCUGCUGCAUGGUGGGGGUUGGAAAGUUUCGGCGGUUGGGGAUGGACUCGCGGCUUAUCAGCUUGUUGGUGGGGUAGUGGCUUACCAAGGCUUUGACGGGUAGCCGGCCUGAGAGGGUGACCGGCCACAUUGGGACUGCGAUACGGACCAGACUCCUACGGGAGGCAGCAGGCGGGAAUAUGGCACAAUGGGCGGAAGCCUGAUGCAGCAACGCCGCGUGCGGGAUGACGGCCUUCGGGUUGUAAGCCGCUUUCGCCUGUGACGAAGCGUGAGUGACGGUAAUGGGUAAAGAAGCAACGGCUAACUACGUG